rnacentral:rRNA from 1 species
ACCUGCGGAGGGAUCAUUACCGAGUUAUACAACUCAUCAACCCUGUGAACAUACCUAUAACGUUGCCUCGGCGGGAACAGACGGCCCCGUAACACGGGCCGCCCCCGCCAGAGGACCCCCUAACUCUGUUUCUAUAAUGUUUCUUCUGAGUAAACAAGCAAAUAAAUUAAAACUUUCAACAACGGAUCUCUUGGCUCUGGCAUCGAUGAAGAACGCAGCGAAAUGCGAUAAGUAAUGUGAAUUGCAGAAUUCAGUGAAUCAUCGAAUCUUUGAACGCACAUUGCGCCCGCCAGUAUUCUGGCGGGCAUGCCUGUUCGAGCGUCAUUACAACCCUCAGGCCCCCGGGCCUGGCGUUGGGGAUCGGCGGAAGCCCCCUGCGGGCACAACGCCGUCCCCCAAAUACAGUGGCGGUCCCGCCGCAGCUUCCAUUGCGUAGUAGCUAACACCUCGCAACUGGAGAGCGGCGCGGCCACGCCGUAAAACACCCAACUUCUGAAUGUUGACCUCGAAUCAGGUAGGAAUACCCGCUGAACUUAAGCAUAUCAAUA